rnacentral:rRNA from 1 species
AAUAGAUACCCGGGUAGUCCACGCCGUAAACGGUGGGCACUAGGUGUGGGCGACAUUCCACGUCGUCCGUGCCGCAGCUAACGCAUUAAGUGCCCCGCCUGGGGAGUACGGCCGCAAGGCUAAAACUCAAAGGAAUUGACAGGGGCCCGCACAAGCGGCGGAGCAUGUGGCUUAAUUCGACGCAACGCGAAGAACCUUACCAAGGCUUGACAUACACCGGAAACGUCCAGAGAUGGGCGCCCCCUUGUGGUCGGUGUACAGGUGGUGCAUGGCUGUCGUCAGCUCGUGUCGUGAGAUGUUGGGUUAAGUCCCGCAACGAGCGCAACCCUUGUCCCGUGUUGCCAGCAGGCCCUUGUGGUGCUGGGGACUCACGGGAGACCGCCGGGGUCAACUCGGAGGAAGGUGGGGACGACGUCAAGUCAUCAUGCCCCUUAUGUCUUGGGCUGCACACGUGCUACAAUGGCCGGUACAAUGAGCUGCGAUACCGCGAGGUGGAGCGAAUCUCAAAAAGCCGGUCUCAGUUCGGAUUGGGGU